rnacentral:rRNA from 1 species
UACGAAGGGGGCUAGCGUUGCUCGGAAUUACUGGGCGUAAAGCGCACGUAGGCGGCUUUGUAAGUUAGAGGUGAAAGCCCAGGGCUUAACCCUGGAAUUGCCUUUAAGACUGCAUCGCUAGAAUCGUGGAGAGGUAAGUGGAAUUCCGAGUGUAGAGGUGAAAUUCGUAGAUAUUGGGAAGGAACACCGGUGGCGAAGGCGGCGACCUGGUCCUUGACUGACGCUGAGGCGCGAAAGCGUGGGGAGCAAACAGG